UACGGAGGGUGCAAACGUUGCUCGGAAUCAUUGGGCGUAAAGCGCACGUAGGCGGCUCGUUAAGUCGGAUGUGAAAGCCCCGGGCUCAACUCGGGAAGUGCAUUCGAAACUGGCGAGCUUGAAUAUGGAAGAGGGUCGCGGAAUUCCCGGUGUAGAGGUGAAAUUCGUAGAUAUCGGGAGGAACACCAGUGGCGAAGGCGGUUCUCUGGGCCUGUACUGACGCUGAGGAGCGAAAGCGUGGGGAGCGAACAGG
rnacentral:rRNA from 1 species